rnacentral:rRNA from 1 species
UACGUAGGGUCCGAGCGUUGUCCGGAAUUACUGGGCGUAAAGAGCUCGUAGGUGGUUUGUCGCGUUGUCCGUGAAAACUCACAGCUCAACUGUGGGCGUGCGGGCGAUACGGGCAGACUGGAGUACUGCAGGGGAGACUGGAAUUCCUGGUGUAGCGGUGGAAGUGCGCAGAUAUCAGGAGGAACACCGGUGGCGAAGGCGGGUCUCUGGGCAGUAACUGACGCUGGAGGAGCGGAAAGCGUGGGGGAGCGAAACAGG